ACACGGCGGGUGCUAACGUCCGUCGUGGAGAGGGAAACAACCCAGACCGCCAGCUAAGGUCCCAAAGUAUAGCUAAGUGGGAAACGAUGUGGGAAGGCUCAGACAGCCAGGAUGUUGGCUUAGAAGCAGCCAUCAUUUAAAGAAAGCGUAAUAGCUCACUGGUCGAGUCGGCCUGCGCGGAAGAUGUAACGGGGCUAAGCUAUACNNNNNNNNNNNNNNNNNNNNNACCGAAGCUGCGGCUACGUACCUUAGGGUAUGUGGGGUAGGGGAGCGUUCUGUAAGCCGUUGAAGGUGGUCUGUAAGGGCUGCUGGAGGUAUCAGAAGUGCGAAUGCUGACAUGAGUAACGAUAAAGGGAGUGAAAAACUCCCUCGCCGGAAGACCAAGGGUUCCUGUCCAACGUUAAUCGGGGCAGGGUAAGUCGACUCCUAAGGCGAGGCCGAAAGGCGUAGUCGAUGGGAAAC
rnacentral:rRNA from 1 species